rnacentral:rRNA from 1 species
GACAGAGGGUGCAAACGUUGUUCGGAAUUACUGGGCGUAAAGCGCGUGUAGGCGGCUAUGUAAGUCGGGCGUGAAAUCCCACGGCUCAACCGUGGAAGUGCACCCGAAACUGCGUAGCUAGAGUCCUGGAGAGGAAGGUGGAAUGCUUGGUGUAGAGGUGAAAUUCGUAGAUAUCAAGCGGAACACCGGUGGCGAAGGCGGCCUUCUGGACAGUGACUGACGCUGAGACGCGAAAGCCAGGGGAGCAAACGGG